rnacentral:sRNA from 1 species
GCUGGGCAUGGUGGCGUAUGCCUGUAAUCUCAGUGGCUUGGGAGGCUGAGACAAGAGAAUUGUGAGUUCAAAGCCAGCCUCAGCGACAGUGAGGUGCUCAGCAACUCAGUGAGACUGUGUCUCCU